AAAAAUAGACAAAUGGAAACUCAUGUCUUGCAAACUUUCUGUGAUACAAUUGUUGUUGAAGUAAACAUGUUAAAAAUGUAAAAGAGUCAAAAUAUUUUUGAUUGCCUUUUAAUAUAUUAUAAAAUGUAAAACCACAAAAAUAUGAAAUGUAUACAUUUUUUCAAUUAAUUAUCUGUAUAUUUAUUAUAUCGGAUAACUUUCUAACAAAAAUGUCACAAUUUAUGUUACAAUUACGAUAUACACAUGUACCAAAUCUCACAAUUCAUGUUUUGUGUAUUGACUAUACAUUCAAUGUAUGUUAUGACUUUUUGAGAUGUUUUUAAGUAUUAAAAUCUGCGCAUAUUG
rnacentral:sRNA from 1 species